GUCCCGUUCGUCUAGAGGCCUAGGACAUCGCCCUCUCACGGCGGCAACACGGGUUCGAAUCCCGUACGGGACG
rnacentral:tRNA from 1 species